rnacentral:rRNA from 1 species
GACGAACGCUGGCGGCGUGCUUAACAUAUGCAAGUCGAACGGAAAGGCCCUGCUUUUGUGGGGUGCUCGAGUGGCGAACGGGUGAGUAACACGUGAGUAACCUGCCCUUGACUUUGGGAUAACUUCAGGAAACUGGGGCUAAUACCGGAUAGGAGCUCCUGCUGCAUGGUGGGGGUUGGAAAGUUUCGGCGGUUGGGGAUAGACUCGCGGCUUAUCAGCUUGUUGGUGGGGUAGUGGCUUACCAAGGCUUUGACGGGUAGCCGGCCUGAGAGGGUGACCGGCCACAUUGGGACUGAGAUACGGCCCAGACUCCUACGGGAGGCAGCAGUGGGGAAUAUUGCACAAUGGGCGGAAGCCUGAUGCAGCAACGCCGCGUGCGGGAUGACGGCCUUCGGGUUGUAAACCGCUUUCGCCUGUGACGAAGCGUGAGUGACGGUAAUGGGUAAAGAAGCACCGGCUAACUACGUG